rnacentral:rRNA from 1 species
AGAGUUUGAUCAUGGCUCAGGACGAACGCUGGCGGCGUGCCUAACACAUGCAAGUCGAACGGGGUGAGGCCCUUCGGGACCUUUACCUAGUGGCGAACGGGUGAGUAACGCGUGAGGAACCUGCCUUUCAGUGGGGGACAACAGUUGGAAACGACUGCUAAUACCGCAUGAAGCUUUUGGGAGACAUCUCCUGGAAGCCAAAGCUUAAUGUGCUGAAAGAUGGCCUCGCGUCUGAUUAGCUAGUUGGUGGGGUAACGGCCCACCAAGGCGACGAUCAGUAGCCGGUCUGAGAGGAUGAACGGCCACAUUGGGACUGAGAUACGGCCCAGACUCCUACGGGAGGCAGCAGUGGGGAAUAUUGGGCAAUGGGCGAAAGCCUGACCCAGCAACGCCGCGUGAAGGAAGAAGGCCUUCGGGUUGUAAACUUCCUUUACCAGGGACGAAGGACGUGACGGUACCUGGAGAAAAAGCAACGGCUAACUACGUGCCAGCAGCCGCGGUAAUACGUAGGUUGCAAGCGUUGUCCGGAUUUACUGGGUGUAAAGGGCGUGUAGGCGGAGAUGCAAGUUAGGAGUGAAAUCUAUGGGCUCAACCCAUAAACUGCUUCUAAAACUGUAUCCCUUGAGUAUCGGAGAGGCAAGCGGAAUUCCUAGUGUAGCGGUGAAAUGCGUAGAUAUUAGGAGGAACACCAGUGGCGAAGGCGGCUUUCUGGACUGUAACUGACGCUGAGGCUCGAAAGCGUGGGGAGCGAACAGGAUUAGAUACCCUGGUAGUCCACGCCGUAAACGAUGAAUGCUAGGUGUAGGAGGUAUCGACCCCUUCUGUGCCGGAGUUAACGCAAUAAGCAUUCCGCCUGGGGAGUACGGCCGCAAGGCUGAAACUCAAAGGAAUUGACGAGGGCCCGCACAAGCGGUGGAGUAUGUGGUUUAAUUCGACGCAACGCGAAGAACCUUACCAGGGCUUGACAUUGAGUGAAAGGACAAGAGAUUGUCCCCUCUCUUCGGAGACACGAAAACAGGUGGUGCAUGGCUGUCGUCAGCUCGCGUCGUGAGAUGUUGGGUUAAGUCCCGCAACGAGCGCAACCCCUAUUCUUUGUUGCCAGCACGUUAUGGUGGGAACUCAAAGGAGACUGCCGCGGACAACGCGGAGAAAGGCGGGGAUGACGUCAAGUCAUCAUGCCCCUUAUGUCCUGGGCUACACACGUACUACAAUGGGAUGGACAGAGAGCAGCGAAGCCGCGAGGCCAAGCGAACCCCAUAAACCAUCUCCCAGUUCGGAUUGCAGGCUGCAACCCGCCUGCAUGAAGUUGGAAUCGCUAGUAAUCGCAGGUCAGCAUACUGCGGUGAAUACGUUCCCGGGCCUUGUACACACCGCCCGUCACACCACGGAAGUCAUCCACACCCGAAGCCGGCAGGCUAACCUUUUGGAGGCAGCCGUCUAAGGUGGGGGCGAUGACUGGGGUGAAGUCGUAACAAGGUA